CCUACGGGAGUCAGCAGUGGGGGAUAUUGCACAAUGGGGGGAACCCUGAUGCAGCGACGCCGCGUGUGGGAAGACGGUCCUCUGGUUUGUAACCCACUGUCCCCAGGGACGAAAAUUACGGUACCUGGGGAGGAAGCUCCGUCUAACUACGUGCCAGCAGCCGCGGUAAUACGUAGGGAGCGAGCGUUGUCCGGAAUUACUGUGUGGAAAGGGAACGUAGUCGGGGAUUGAAGUUGGGUGUAAAAACUACCGGCUAAACUGGGAGUCGCACUCAAAACUGCAGCGCUUGAGUGAAGUAGAGGCAGGCAGAAUUCCUAGUGUAGCGGUGAAAUGCGUAGAUAUUAGGAGGAACACCAGUGGCGAAGGCGGCCUGCUGGGCUUUUACUGACGCUGAGGCGCGAAAGUGUGGGGAGCAAACAGGAUUAGAUACCCUUGUAGUC
rnacentral:rRNA from 1 species